rnacentral:misc_RNA from 1 species
ACCACAAAUCUUCCUGAGGACUUGAAAGAACGAUUUGAUGAGUAUGUAAAGAUUGGGCGAGACAAGAAGCCAAUACAGUUCGAUAUAGAUGAUAAAAUACUUGAAUUCCUCAAAGUUCCAGUUGCAGUGUGAUCAAUUCUAUCUGAAUAAUGACAUGCCAAUGAAGAUCUGCCCUUUGUAUAAGACUCUGGUCUCUGGAAGCCAUGAUUUUGUGAUCCUCUCUUACUGUUCUAGUUUUGUUAAAAAUCAUUGUAUUCCUAUAAGAUGCUUCUAUUGCAGAAAAUGAAUGAAUAAAUGAAG